rnacentral:rRNA from 1 species
GACAGAGGGGGCAAGCGUUGCUCGGAAUUACUGGGCGUAAAGCGUGCGCAGGCGGUUUUGUAAGUCUGUCGUGAAAGCCCCGGGCUCAACCUGGGAAUUGCGAUGGAGACUGCAAGGCUUGAAUCUGGCAGAGGGGGGUAGAAAUUCCACGUGUAGCAGUGAAAUGCGUAGAGAUGUGGAGGAACACCGAUGGCGAAGGCAGCCCCCUGGGUCAAGAUUGACGCUCAUGCACGAAAGCGUGGGGGAGCAAACAGG